rnacentral:piRNA from 1 species
UCCAGAAAUAUUGAUCUGUCUGCACAAGCCA